rnacentral:rRNA from 1 species
UGAAUACGAGAUGCUACGGCGUCGAAGCAGUCUAUGUCAUACUUCCAGGAAAAGCUUGCACUGUCAUAAACAAAUAAUGCCUGUACCAUAACCGACACAGGUGGGUAGGUAGAGUAUACUAAGGGGCGCGAGAUAACUCUCUCUAAGGAACUCGGCAAAAUGACUCCGUAACUUCGGGAGAAGGAGUGCCUUAUUUAUAAGGUUGCAAUAACAAGAUCCAAGCAACUGUUUACCAAAAACACAGGUCUCCGCUAAGUCGUAAGACGAUGUAUGGGGGCUGACGCCUGCCCAGUGCCAGAAGGUUAAAGAAGUUGGUUAGCAUCCGCGAAGCUGAUAACUGAAGCCCUGGUGAACGGCGGCCGUAACAAUAACGGUCCUAAGGUAGCGAAAUUCCUUGUCGGGUAAGUUCCGACCCGCACGAAAGGCGUAAUGAUUUGGAUACUGUCUCGGAGAGGGGCUCGGUGAAAUAGACUUGUCUGUGAAGAUGCGGACUACCUGCACCAGGACAGAAAGACCCUAUGAAGCUUUACUGUAACCUGAAAUUGAAAUUGGACUUUACUUGCGCAGUAUAGGUGGGAGGCGUUGAGAAUAUUCUUGCGGGAUUAUUGGAGCCAUCAGUGAGAUACCACUCUUGUAAUGUUAGAUUUCUAACUUUGUAUCAUUAUCUGGUCAAAGAACAGUUUCAGGCGGGCAGUUUGACUGGGGCGGUCGCCUCCUAAACGGUAACGGAGGCGCACAAAGGUUUCCUCUGAACGGGUAGAAAUCGUAUCUAGAGUGUAAAGGCAUAAGGAAGCUUGACUGUGAGACCUACAAGUCGAGCAGGGACGAAAGUCGGUCUUAGAGAUCUGACGGUGCUGAGUGGAAAGGCCGUCACUCAACGGAUAAAAGUUACUCUAGGAUAACAGGCUGAUCUCCCCCAAGAGUUCACAUCGACGGGGAGGUUUGGCACCUCGAUGUCGGCUCAUCGCAUCCUGGGGCGGUAGUACGUCCCAAGGGUUGGGCUGUUCGCCCAUGAAAGCGGUACGCGAGCUGGGUUCAGAACGUCGUGAGACAGUUCGGUCCAUAUCCGGUGUAGGCGUUAGAAUAUUGAGAGGAGCCUUCUUUAGUACGAGAGGACCGAGAAGGACAUACCUCUGGUGUACCAGUUAUCGUGCCAACGGUAAACGCUGGGUAGCUAUGUGUGGAGUGGAUAACCGCUGAAAGCAUCUAAGUGGGAAGCCCACCUCAAGAUAAG